rnacentral:rRNA from 1 species
AUCUAAGUACCCCGAGGAAAAGAAAUCAACCGAGAUUCCCCCAGUAGCGGCGAGCGAACGGGGAGGAGCCCAGAGCCUGAAUCAGCAUGUGUGUUAGUGGAAGCGUCUGGAAAGGCGCGCGAUACAGGGUGACAGCCCCGUACACAAAAGCGCAUGUGCUGUGAGCUCGAUGAGUAGGGCGGGACACGUGGUAUCCUGUCUGAAUAUGGGGGGACCAUCCUCCAAGGCUAAAUACUCCUGACUGACCGAUAGUGAACCAGUACCGUGAGGGAAAGGCGAAAAGAACCCCGGCGAGGGGAGUGAAAAAGAACCUGAAACCGUGUACGUACAAGCAGUGGGAGCACAGGUUUACCUGUGUGACUGCGUACCUUUUGUAUAAUGGGUCAGCGAC